UGUUGUGUGAUUCCAGCUCCACUAUUUUCUGGAAAAGACAAAAUCAUGAGGACAAUAAAAAGAUCAGUCAUCACUAGGGGCUUGGGGGAGAGAUGGCCAAACAGGCAGAGCACAGAAGAUUUUUUGGGUAAUGAAAAUACUCUGCAUGAGACUAUAAUCACAGAGACAUAUCAUUAUGUAUUUGCCAUAGAAUGUGCAACGCCAAGAGUGAAUCCUAACGAACGCUAUGGCCUCUGGGUGAUAAGGAUCUGUCAACACAGGUUCACAGACCGUAACACAAGACCCGCUCUGGUGUGGAAUGUGGAUCGGGUGGGGAGGCCCUGCAUGUGCGGAGACAGAAGCUCUCUGGAAUUUCUGCUCCAUUUUGCUGUGAACAUAAAAUUGCUCUUAAAAAUCAAGUACACGUUUUUGAAGAGCACAAAGAAUACUUAAAUGUGAUGCCUGUUUUGACCUUAAGUUCAUGCAGCAUGACCUUGAUGCCAUCUCCACUCACUGACCACUGGAACUCUGAUCUUUAUCCUGGAUGCCAUUGUUAUCGUCACUGACUCUCAGCCCGGGAGCCCCUGAUCUUGAGGCUCUGUGCAAAGCAGAGAUUAUCUCCCUUGAUCCCCUCAAGAGCCACUGGAGGAAGGAACUGAUACCCCAUUUAAUAGAUGAAACAACUGAGGCCCAGGGAGACGAGCCCACUGCCCACAGUCGCGGGUGUUGGUGACGGAGCCAGG
rnacentral:lncRNA from 1 species